ensembl:snRNA U6 U6 spliceosomal RNA
GUGCUCACUUCAGCAGCACAUAUACUAAAAUUGGAAUGAUACAAAAAAUUAGCAUGACCCCUGUGCAAGGAUGACACACAAAUCCUUGAAGUGUUCCAUAUUUUU